rnacentral:rRNA from 1 species
AGGACGAACGCUGGCGGCGUGCUUAACACAUGCAAGUCGAGCGGAAAGGCCCUUCGGGGUACUCGAGCGGCGAACGGGUGAGUAACACGUGAGCAACCUGCCCUUAGCUUCGGGAUAGCUCCGGGAAACCGGAAUUAAUACCGGAUAUGACUAUGGCCGACAUCAGCCAUGGUGGAAAGUUUUUCGGCUAGGGGUGGACUCGCGGCCUAUCAGCUAGUUGGUGAGGUAACGGCUCACCAAGGCGACGACGGGUAGCCGGCCUGAGAGGGCGACCGGCCACACUGGGACUGAGACACGGCCCAGACUCCUACGGGAGGCAGCAGUGGGGAAUAUUGCGCAAUGGGCGAAAGCCUGACGCAGCGACGCCGCGUGGGGGAUGAAUGCCUUCGGGUUGUAAACCCCUUUCAGCAGGGACGAAGCGAAAGUGACGGUACCUGCAGAGAAGCGCCGGCUAACUACGUGCCAGCAGCCGC